rnacentral:rRNA from 1 species
CACGUAGUUAGCCGUGGCUUUCUGAUUAGGUACCGUCAAGAUGUGCACAGUUACUUACACAUCUGUUCUUCCCUAAUAACAGAGUUUUACGAGCCGAAACCCUUCAUCACUCACGCGGCGUUGCUCCGUCAGGCUUUCGCCCAUUGCGGAAGAUUCCCUACUGCUGCCUCCCGUAGGAGUCUGGACCGUGUCUCAGUUCCAGUGUGGCCGAUCACCCUCUCAGGUCGGCUACGUAUCGUCGCCUUGGUAAGCCGUUACCUUACCAACUAGCUAAUACGGCGCGGGUCCAUCUAUAAGUGAUAGCAAAACCAUCUUUCACUUUAGAACCAUGCGGUUCUAAAUGUUAUCCGGUAUUAGCUCCGGUUUCCCGAAGUUAUCCCAGUCUUAUAGGUAGGUUACCCACGUGUUACUCACCCGUCCGCCGCUAACUUCAAAGGAGCAAGCUCCUUAUCUGUUCGCUCGACUUGCAUGUAUUAGGCACGCCGCCAGCGUUCAUCCUGAGCCAGGAUCAAACUCU